AGCCAGGCUUUUUAUGGCCAAGAACAGGUUUCUCAUCAGCACCCCUACACAAAAAAAACAAAAUACAGUAAUAAAAAGUGUUAACAACUAUUUAAAAGUUUUCAUUGGCUAGAUAAGCAUGCCAAGUUAAAAAGAAGUUGAAUUUUUAAGUAUAUUUUGAUCCUAUGCUAUGUACCCUAUUAGAGGCUUUUUAAAAAUACCAUGAUGGCUUCUAACCAGAAAGAGUUUACAUCUAGAGUGAUGAAAGCCAUGGGAUGGAAGGGACUUGAAUAUUAUCUGGUCCUGCUCCUAACUGAUGCUCCCCUGAUGAAUGCUUGGCUGGUCUCUUCUAGAACAGCUUUCUAAUUGAGAGAGUCCCUUCUGAAGUCUGUCUCCUGGCGUCUUCUACCCACUUCUACUCAAGUGCCUUUUGUAGUCCCAAAGGAGUGCUUCAACAACAGUAGCCUAAACUGCUUUAGGAUACUCAUUGUGCCAUUAGAAGUCAGCCACCGCCAGUAGACCUUAGAUUUCGUGUAACUCAGUCAAGGACAUUUUGUAGCCAUAAUGGCCCAAGUCACAGGGGAACUACUGGUCAAGAAGCCUGUAAUUCUCCAAGUGAUCUCUGAACCUUAUUUAAUGCAGCAAACCACAGAAGGAGCUGAGCUAAACAGUGUCUGCAAGUUGGGAAGUAAUAACUUUCCUCAUCCCUUCCCAUUCACCACAGGAUGAAUGAAAUGACUGGGUGGAACUUUCCUAACAACCUCUUGUACGCAGAGGACUAGGAAGGAAGCUGGAGGCUUAGAGGCGAAGGUGAACAGGAACGAGUCACAGAAGAGACAGGAAGUGACAACAAGCCUAAUCAGCAGCAGCUGAGGAUGAUGACUGCAUGUUGCUGAACAGACUUGACAGUGGGGAAGGGUAACUACCACCUCAACUUCAGGAUAUGGUUCCUGGAGUCUCCAUUGCACAAUAAAACUGAU